AUUGAACGCUGGCGGCAGGCCUAACACAUGCAAGUCGAACGAGUGGCGGACGGGUGAGUAAUGUCUGGCAAACUGCCCAAUGGCGGGGGAUAACGACUGGAAACGGUAGCUAAUACCGCAUACCAUCAGAUGUGCCCAGAGGGGAUUAGCUAGUUGGUGGGGUAACGGCUCACCAAGGCGACGAUCCCUAGCUGGUCUGAGAGGAUGACAAGCCAGUCGGUGACUGAGACACGGUCCAGACUCCUACGGGAGGCAGCAGUGGGGAAUAUUGCACAAUGGGCGCAAGCCUGAUGCAGCCAGGCCGCGGGUAUGAAGAAGGCCUUCGGUUUGUAAAGUACUUUCGGCGGGGAGGCGUUACCCGCAGAAGAAGCACCGGCCAACUCCGUGCCAGCAGCCGCGGUAAUUC
rnacentral:rRNA from 1 species